rnacentral:rRNA from 1 species
AGAGUUUGAUCAUGGCUCAGAACGAACGCUGGCGGCAUGGAUUAGGCAUGCAAGUCGAACGGGCGCAGCAAUGCGUCAGUGGCGAAAGGGUGAGGAACACGUGAGUAACUUGCCCCCAAGUUCGGAAUAGCUUUGGGAAACUGAAGAUAAUACCGGAUGUGGUUGUUCUGCUGCAUGGCAGGGCAACUAAAGGUUUACCGCUUGGGGAUAGGCUCGCGUCCCAUUAGCUAGUUGGUGAGGCAACGGCUCACCAAGGCGACGAUGGGUAGCUGGUCUGAGAGGAUGGUCAGCCACACUGGGACUGAGACACUGCCCAGACUCCUACGGGAGGCUGCAGUCGAGAAUCUUCCGCAAUGCGCGAAAGCGUGACGGAGCAAUGCCGCGUGCCGGAUGAAGGUCUUCGGAUUGUAAACGGCUGUCGACCGGGACGAACCAAUGACGGUACCGGUAGAGGAAGCCACGGCUAACUACGUGCCAGCAGCCGCGGUAAUACGUAGGUGGCGAGCGUUGUUCGGAUUUAUUGGGCGUAAAGGGUCCGUAGGAGGUUGGGUAAAUUUGACGUGAAAUCCCGGAGCUCAACUCUGGAACUGCGUUGGAGACUGCCUGACUGGAGUGCUGGAGAGGUAAGCGGAAUACCAGGUGUAGCGGUGGAAUGCGUAGAUAUCUGGUAGAACACCAAAAGCGAAGGCAGCUUACUGGACAGCAACUGACUCUCAAGGACGAAAGCGUGGGGAGCAAACAGGAUUAGAUACCCUGGUAGUCCACGCCGUAAACGUUGUCAACUAGAUGUGGGCGGCUUUAACCCCGUCCGUAUCCAAGCUAACGCGAUAAGUUGACCGCCUGGGGACUACGGCCGCAAGGCUAAAACUCAAAGGAAUUGACGGGGGCCCGCACAAGCGGUGGAGCAUGUGGCUUAAUUCGAGGCAACGCGAAGAACCUUACCUGGGCUUGAAAUGUAACGGACAGUCUGUGAAAGCAGAUCUUCCUUCGGGACUGUUACACAGGUGCUGCAUGGCUGUCGUCAGCUCGUGCUGUGAAGUGUUCGGUUAAGUCCGGCAACGAGCGCAACCCGUGUCUUUAGUUACCAACAGGUAAAGCUGGGGACUCUAAAGAGACUGCCCGUGUUAAGCGGGAGGAAGGCGCGGAUGACGUCAAGUCAGUAUGGCCCUUACGUCCAGGGCUGCACACGUGCUACAAUGGGCGGUACAAUGAGACGCAAAACCGCGAGGUGGAGCAAAUCUACAAAACCGCUCUUAGUUCAGAUUGCAGUCUGCAACUCGACUGCAUGAAGUUGGAAUCGCUAGUAAAGGCGUAUCAGCUACGACGCCUUGAAUACGUUCCCGGGCCUUGUACACACCGCCCGUCACAUCAUGGGAGCUGACUGCACCCGAAAUCGCUGUUUCGACCUUUCACGAGGGGAUAGGCGCCUAAGGUUCGGUUGGUGACUGGGAUGAAGUCGUAACAAGGUAGCC